rnacentral:lncRNA from 1 species
GGCUAGGGGUCGCGUCGGAGCUACUGCUACCAAUCUACACCACAGCUACAGCAAUGCCAGAUCCUAACCGCAUCUGUGACCUGCACUGCAGCUCAUGGCAACGCCAGAUCCUUAACCCACUGAGUGAGGCCAGGGAUUGAACCUGCAUCCCUGUGGAUGCUAGUUGGGUUUGUUACCAUUGAGCCGCAGCAGGACCUCUGUAAACUUGAGUUUGAAUCUGCUAGUGUUAAGACCCCACAGAGAUGUCACCAGGAUCUGUCCACCUAGGAGUCUGGUGCUCUUGCUUUCUUCUUGGCACAAUUUAUGCUCUUCGUUGCUCUGGGAUGAAGGAGUGCUGCCCUCCAGGCCGAGCAGUGGGAAUGAAAUGAUAGGAACCUGGUCACCAGUAAGGGGAUGCUCCAUCGGUGCCAUGUCCUGGUGGCAGCCAGGAAGCCCCAGCCCCUGCUGCCUGUCACUUUGGCUUCCUGAAGCUGUGGUGCAGGUCGGGCCUGAAACAGCAGCAGCCUUUCUAGCCAGAGGGGCCGGUCGUUCGGCAGUGAGGUCCCUGGGAGGGGCGGGCUGGCUGUCAGUGUGUGGUGGGCCCAGAACCGGCGGUGGGGAAACUAGGUCUGGUUUGUGGGUUUGUUAAACCAGUGAGAAGAGGCAGUUGUGUUCUCUGAGCGAGUUCAGUGGGAAAUGGCCAAGGGACUGUCCUCCUGAGAACAAAGGGUUCUGAUGGUGGGGCUCCCUGCCUGGAACGAGCCUGAACCCUGCAGCCAGGCCUUGGCUUCCAGUCUGCAGACCUGUCCCCUGGGGGCAGCCCCACCUCUGCCAUUAGCCUGGGCGCUGGUCUGGGGGCGCCCCAGGACCCCGGGCAGGACCCGGUGGUGAGGAAGGAAAUCAAGAGGAGAGAUUCUCUUCUCUCUCUUGGCCUCUGUUUUAGAUUGAAGGGUUUCAAAGUACUUACAUUUAUUGGAGUUUCACAUCAAAACACCACACUAAUUGUCUCCAUCCCAAAUAAGGUACAGAGAUGUCACGCUAGACAGAACCUAGUGCCCCAGGAGCAGCAACCAGAAAUAGCAAAACCCUUUGCUUUACAAUGAGGAGAGGGCCUCCAAAAGGCUUCAGAGAGGAGUUCCCAUUGUGUCUCAGCAGCUCAAGAGCCCAAAAUUCUCCAUGAAGACGAGGGUUCAAUCCCUGGCCUCACUCAGUGGGUUAAGGAUCCGGCAUUGCCACGAUCUGUGCUGUAGUUCACAGACACGGCAGCUCAGAUCCCGCCUUGCUGCCUUGGCUUCCAUUCGACCCCUGGCCUGGGAACUUCCAUAUGCCACUUGUGCAGCCCUAGAAAGAAAAAAGCUUUCAGAGACACGUUUCCAGUGCAUUCUGGUUUUGUCGCAACCAGCCUGACCUGUAGAGAGACUGGGCAAAGCCCCUGCGGGCAGGCGGCUUGCACAGGGUUCCCUCACCACAGCCCUCAACAGAGGCUGUGGUUAUCCCCUGCAGACUGAAAGCCAAAGCUGAGUGACCCAUCCUCAAGGGCCAGUGAUUUUAGAGCUUUGUGUUCUAGGCCACCACCUUCUCAAUCUAGGGAUGGGGCGGGCUGGGCAGGAAAGUGAGGUGUGUAGGAAGGAAUUUGCCGUGAACCUCAGCAUCGCAGACCCGCCCUGCCCGUGAGCACAGUGUCCCGGCACCUGGCCAAACAGGACUCUGGGUGUCCCAGGGUGGCUUUCCUGGGGCAGCAAGCCCGCCACACCCCCAUUCCUGAGAAGUCAGGGAGGAGGCUACAGACCCUGGCACUUUGCCAGCAGGUGACAAGGCUUGGGGGCUAGUUGGUGCCUUGCAGCAGCCCCUCCCCAGAGCCCCUGGGCCUAGACCACCUCAGGGUACAGGAAGAGGGUGAGGGGCCUUCUGGGCAGGGCCCAGCCGUGACAAAGUUUCUGUGACAAAAAAGCCAGGACAGUGGUGAGCCCAAGCCUAGACCUCCUGAAGGACCCUUAGGCCAAGCUGGGUGCUGGGGGCCUUGGGGUCUAAAUGGUGGCUUGAACCUCCCAGGGCAGUGCCCCAAGGCCAAACUCAUUGAAGAAGGCCCUGAACAACCCCCCCACCAGGCCUCUGUCCCUGUAGAACAAUGACCUCGCCCUCCCUGGUCAGGCCCUGGGGGUUUACAAGGUCGAAGGGAGGAGGGGCCAUUCAUGGAGAGGUUUUAUAGAUCUUUUCCCACCCUUUGGUGCUGUCUGGGAGAUUGAUCGGCUAAUGAGGUAUUUCUGUUCCAUGCUGAUGACUAGAGGGUGUGAAAAAAGAGGGCGGAGGCCGUCAGCCAAGUCCCAGGGGCGGAAGGGAGCUACCAUAAAACUACCAAUGUUCCCAAGUCUAGACGGCUGCUUGGAGCCUCUUGCCUGAAGGUGGGUGGGCAAUCAGGGUGCCCUGGCAUCUAAGCAUCCGAGCAUAACAAACCUGGCCGUGGUCAGAAGACCAGUCAGAGGCGCCUGCUCCUGGAGGCUGGACCUGGGAAGGGAGGCUGGUGACAGUUCCAGAGACCCAGUGUGUGUUUGGGGAUGCGAGUCAGCAGAAAUGCAGAUAAAGGCCUCUGACGGCAGGUUUCUGUCCACUCCAGACAGCUUCCAUAAAACUAAUCCCGUCCCUGCCAAGUGUCGUUUUGAGAUAAAACAAACUCAGGGGUUUGGCUUCUCAGCCCCAAGGACUGAAGUGGCUUCAGAGACCCCCGUGAAGUCUCUCCUGUGUCACUGAACCCACCUGGGCCCCCAGCCUUUUCUGGCAGCUUCCACUUCACCACUGCCCACAUGGCUGAGAGGGGCAGGAUGCCCACCUUCAGGGCAGAGCUCAACCCUGCAGGGGAGCCUUGCAGCCACUUCCCAGACACCUCCUCUCCUGCUUUGUCAGGGAAGCAGAGGCGACUGGGUGCACGUUGUGGUGUCUGUUUUUUUAAGCUUUCCUUUUUUAGGGGGGUACUUUUAGGCAUACGGAAGUUCCCAGGCUAGGAGUCGAAUCAGAGCUGUAGCUGCUGGCGUACAUCACAGCCACAGCAACACCAGAUCUGAGCUGUGUCUGCAACCUACACCACAGCUCACGGCAACGCCAGAUCCUCAACCCACUGAGCGAGGCCAGGGAUCGAACCUUCGUCCUCAUGGAUACUAGUCAGAUUCAUUUCCACUGAGCCACGAUGGGAACAACGUUAAGCGUUCCUUCUUUGUGCUCCUGUUGCCUAUAAUUUCCUCCAGCUCAGGCUUUGGAGCAUGGUUCCACCACUGAAAGCCCAGCCCAGAAGGUGUUCUUGUCCAUGGGGUGGGGCUGGAGGUGCUAAAACUGCCUGUCAUUGGGCCUUAAGUACACUGCCUAGAGCUCCAGGUUCCAGAAAGUUCUUUUUGGCUCUAAUAGCCCUCCCUUGCUGCCUGAGAUCUGGUGGGACUGGCCUUGGAAGCAGAAAAGCGUAUCCUAAGACUGGUGAGGAGACUCUUGGCAAGAUUUGAAAGGCAGGAGUGAUGCUUCAGGUUUUCACGUUCUGACUGUGAAAUUUAAGUUUCCUAAGACUUUGACAUCAGUUAUGUGUAAGGAAGGAGGCUCAAGAGAUUGUGAAACAUGGGGAUAAAUUAGCAAUCAGAUGGGAGCCAACUUUGGCGUUUGCCAAUGGGAUGAUACUACAGGUACAAGGGUGCAGGUAUGUUGGGUUGUAAAGAAAAGACAUAACUUGAGGGAAAGGAACUGUUGUUUUAUGAUUUUAUCUGUUUUAAUAGAUUAAAUGAUAAUGUGGAGGAAAAGAGAACCGCAGAAACUGUGACUUCAGUGCAGCUGGGGGCGGGGAAGCCUUUUGUAGAACAAGAGAGCGAUUAUUAGUGAUCCCAGAAGCUGAGCAGAAAGACUGACAUCAGGGAAUUUGGUUCCUGGCCCACAAACUGCCCCAACUUGGGUGGGGGGAGCCCCAAGUCCUCAGGCCUCCUUCCUUCUAGGUUGAGGUACCUUUUCUUCUAGAAAACUCACUGUCUGAUACCAGAACAUGAGUCCGGUCAAUAAGCUAUAAAAAUGCCCCUGUGCUGAUGGCAGAGCAGAAGUGCCACUGCAGGCGUCUCCUUUGCAAGUUUCAGUUGCCCCUGGAGGCCCCUUUUCCUUCACAGCAUCAUUUAACAGUGAGCCUCUCUUGGAACAUACAGGUGUGCAUCUUCCUUUACUAAUUGGUGAGUGCAGCUUCCUCUUGCAUUCAACAGGAGCGCAAACGUGAACAGUAAGUAAACAGUAAUUUUUUACCUAUCUCUUCACCUGGUCCCUCCUCGGAAGCUGUCAGCGUGAGGAGAGCGAAGGUGGAGACUGCGAGGCAGCGCUCCAGCAAACACCUGUCUGCAUCCCCGGCUUGUGCACCCACAGGGCAGGCAGAGGGCGCACUGAUCUUCCUGGUGACACGUUUCCCGGUUGGAGUACACGGAGAACUGGGCCUCCCUCUUGGUGGCUCUGUUGUCUGAACGUCACACAGCUCGAGAGGUACUGGUCAUGGUGUGCUUAGUUCCCUUCGUUCAGAUCCCAGCCCCGCUAGAUGUCAUCUGUGUCAUGUUUCUAGGCUUCGGUUUCCUCAUCUGUAAACCAUGGACAGCUUUGUUAAGUCGUGAGAGUUAAAUGAAUGAAUUUAUGUAAAAGCCUGAUAACAGAGACUGGUGUCAACUCUAAAGGUAUGGGCUUCCCUUUGAUUGUUGGUUUAAUUUAUUUAACCAGCCUGCUACCAGUGAACCGGUAAGUUGUUUCCAACUGAGCUGCAGUUAAAAACAAAAACAAAAACGAAGCAAAACCGUGGGCAUUCUGCAUACGCAGGUACCAGUGUAUUUGUGGCUGAUUUCUAGAUUUGCACAUGGUGGGAUCCUCAGAACCUGAAGCUGGCAGUGGUGGGAGAGGCAGCUCUGAAGAAUUGGCUUUUUGUUACUAGAUAAAAGGAUACAUUAUUUAAAAAAAAUUGUAUUUAAUGUUUCCUUUGCAAUAACAUAUACGUUAAAUUUACCAUUUUAAGGAGUUCCCGUCGUGGCUCAGUGGUUAAUGAAUCCGACUAGGAACCAUGAGGUUGUGGGUUCAAUCCCUGUCCUUGCUCAUGGGUUAAGGAUCCAGCAUUGCCAUGAGCUGUGGUGUAGGUCACAGAUGUGGCUCAGCUCCCAAAUUGGUGUGGCUGUGGCGAAGGCCAGUGGCUACAGCUCCGAUUAGACCCCUAACCUGGGAACCUCCGUAUGCCACAGAUGUGGCCCUAGAAAAACCAAAAAAAAAAAAAAAA